rnacentral:lncRNA from 1 species
CAUCAGACAGUGAAGCCUGAGCAGCAGGAGGAGAGCUUGCAGGCCUCCUGGGUAGAAUUGCACCUUCACAAUAAUAGAAAAGGGAGCACUGUUUCAGCCUCAGUUUUUAUUUAUAAUGGUGGCAUGAAAAAAAUACUGCUGGGUUUUGGCAUGAGUCCAGAUAGAGAUAGCUCUGAGAGUUCUCACUGUGACAGCCCACGUCUUUCACAGACACCAUGGGACUAAUAGGGUUUCUGAAACAGACACACAAUGCAUUUGAGAGAAAAACAGCUCUCAUUCUGAGAAAGAUUAUAUUGAAAGAAAAAAGUUAAAAGUGUCUUAAGAAAAAACUGAGAUUGGAUAUAAGAUUGAUCAAGUCAGCCAGAAAAUAUCUCCCUAAGAAGAAUUUCUCUCCAAACACCCAAGUGCAUAGCUACUCUCAGCAAGAGAAACAGGAGCAUUAUUGAAUAAAGGGGGCAUAUUCUCCAGCAGAAUUUUAAAAGAUUUAUCUUCCAUCUCUGCUGCUCUCUUAUUUCCUAACCAUUGAAUGUGAGAUCUAUAUUGGAAUAUAUCUGACAACUUCCAGUAGCACUUU